UGGUUCUGGCAUCGAUGAAGAACGCAGCGAAAUGCGAUAAGUAAUGUGAAUUGCAGAAUUCCGUGAAUCAUCGAAUCUUUGAACGCACAUUGCACCCUCUGGUAUUCCGGGGGGUAUGCCUGUUCGAGCGUCAUUACAACCCUCAAGCUCUGCUUGGUAUUGGAUGUAAAUUGAUAUAAUUCAUCUCAAAAUUAGUGGUAGUGCCGUCUGGUUUCCAGCGUAGUAAUUCUCUCGCUGUGGGUGUCCAGGCUGGUGUCUCCAGCAAAUAUUAUUACUAGGUUGACCUCGGAUCAGGUAGGGAUACCCGCUGA
rnacentral:misc_RNA from 1 species